GUUUGCUCAAACUCCUAAACUAGAAUAGUAUAUUUGUACUAUAUAACGACCUAGCUGUAAUGAGAACCAAAAUCAGAUGCUAUAUUGUGUGCGCCGAAAGAAGAAGAAAAAGAAUGAAGUUGUUAGUGGUAGCUAGCUUUCUGGUUUCUAUGGUGAUUAUGAGUACAAUUGUUGGAACAAGCACUCGCCUUCCCUUUCUCGUAGAUAUGCAAACUGUGGAACCAUCUCCAUACAUCACAGUAACAGGCUGUAAUAACAACUGCGAUAUUGCUUGUUGCUAUUGUGAUAUCACAAAGCAGCCACCUCUCUGCGUCCAGUGCUGCCGCGAAGAGCGCUGAGCCCCUGUAUUUGCAGGAGUUCUGCUCUCAAGUUACUCAAGUACAGCCAAAACGCGCAGAAAUCCAUUGGCCAACAAGUGGAACCAACUCUCUUUUAAAUAUGUUGUUAUAUACAUCGGACUUAAAGACUGCAUAUAAGAGAUGUAAAAAAAAUGUAGUACAGGAUUUGCUUGCUCUCUUUAUUUACAGCAUUCCUUCGUAGGAGAGCAUGAAGCUCCUGAAGUUAAGGCAUCAAGGAAACCCUGAAUAAGGAAAAAAAAAAUUAAGAACGACCUUAAAUUAUUCCAGAUUACUUGCCUCAGAUUUGUGAAAUGAGGAGGGCAUUAUGGAUUUCCAAUGUUUCUCAAAAUACCAAAAAAAAAAAAAACUAGAAAGUCAGCUAUCUUGCUCCAUACAAGGGACCAGCGACUAAACAUUCACGACAAUACAAUAGGCAUUAGGUAGUAAUAAAUUAAAAACAAAAGAGGCAUUUGGCUAUCUCGCUCC